rnacentral:rRNA from 1 species
UACGUAGGGUGCAAGCGUUGUCCGGAAUUAUUGGGCGUAAAGAGCUCGUAGGCGGUCUGUUGCGUCGGCUGUGAAAACCCGAGGCUCAACCUCGGGCCUGCAGCCGAUACGGGCAGACUAGAGUUCGGCAGGGGAGACUGGAAUUCCUGGUGUAGCGGUGAAAUGCGCAGAUAUCAGGAGGAACACCGAUGGCGAAGGCAGCCCCCUGGGCUGAGAUUGACGCUCAGGCACGAAAGCGUGGGGAGCAAACAGG